rnacentral:rRNA from 1 species
AGGCACUACGGUGCUGAAGCAACAAAUGCCCUGCUUCCAGGAAAAGCCUCUAAGCAUCAGGUAACAUCAAAUCGUACCCCAAACCGACACAGGUGGUCAGGUAGAGAAUACCAAGGCGCUUGAGAGAACUCGGGUGAAGGAACUAGGCAAAAUGGUGCCGUAACUUCGGGAGAAGGCACGCUGACACGUAGGUGAAGUGAUUUACUCAUGGAGCUGAAGUCAGUCGAAGAUACCAGCUGGCUGCAACUGUUUAUUAAAAACACAGCACUGUGCAAACACGAAAGUGGACGUAUACGGUGUGACGCCUGCCCGGUGCCGGAAGGUUAAUUGAUGGGGUCAGCGCAAGCGAAGCUCCUGAUCGAAGCCCCGGUAAACGGCGGCCGUAACUAUAACGGUCCUAAGGUAGCGAAAUUCCUUGUCGGGUAAGUUCCGACCUGCACGAAUGGCGUAAUGAUGGCCAGGCUGUCUCCACCCGAGACUCAGUGAAAUUGAACUCGCUGUGAAGAUGCAGUGUACCCGCGGCAAGACGGAAAGACCCCGUGAACCUUUACUAUAGCUUGACACUGAACAUUGAGCCUUGAUGUGUAGGAUAGGUGGGAGGCUUUGAAGUGUGGACGCCAGUCUGCAUGGAGCCGACCUUGAAAUACCACCCUUUAAUGUUUGAUGUUCUAACGUGGACCCGUGAUCCGGGUUGCGGACAGUGUCUGGUGGGUAGUUUGACUGGGGCGGUCUCCUCCUAAAGAGUAACGGAGGAGCACGAAGGUUGGCUAAUCCUGGUCGGACAUCAGGAGGUUAGUGCAAUGGCAUAAGCCAGCUUGACUGCGAGCGUGACGGCGCGAGCAGGUGCGAAAGCAGGUCAUAGUGAUCCGGUGGUUCUGAAUGGAAGGGCCAUCGCUCAACGGAUAAAAGGUACUCCGGGGAUAACAGGCUGAUACCGCCCAAGAGUUCAUAUCGACGGCGGUGUUUGGCACCUCGAUGUCGGCUCAUCACAUCCUGGGGCUGAAGUAGGUCCCAAGGGUAUGGCUGUUCGCCAUUUAAAGUGGUACGCGAGCUGGGUUUAGAACGUCGUGAGACAGUUCGGUCCCUAUCUGCCGUGGGCGCUGGAGAACUGAGGGGGGCUGCUCCUAGUACGAGAGGACCGGAGUGGACGCAUCACUGGUGUUCGGGUUGUCAUGCCAAUGGCACUGCCCGGUAGCUAAAUGCGGAAGAGAUAAGUGCUGAAAGCAUCUAAGCACGAAACUUGCCCCGAGAUGAGUUCUCCCUGAGACUUUAGGUCUCCUGAAGGAACGUUGAAGACGACGACGUUGAUAGGCCGGGUGUGUAAGCGCAGCGAUGCGUUGAGCUAACCGGUACUAAUGAACCGUGAGGCUUAACCUUACA